CCUACGGGAGGCAGCAGUGAGGAAUAUUGGUCAAUGGGCGGGAGCCUGAACCAGCCAAGUAGCGUGCAGGAUGACGGCCCUAUGGGUUGUAAACUGCUUUUAUACGGGAAUAACGCGCCUCACGUGUGGGACUUUGUAUGUACCGUAUGAAUAAGGAUCGGCUAAUUCCGUGCCAGCAGCCGCGGUAAUACGGAAGGUCCGGGCGUUAUCCGGAUUUAUUGGGUUUAAAGGGAGCGUAGGCCGAUUGUUAAGUGUGCUGUGAAAUUUUCGGGCUCAACCGGAGCCUUGCGGUGGGAACUGGGGUGCUUGAGUACGCGAAAAGCAGGCGGAAUUCGUGGUGUAGCGGUGAAAUGCUUAGAUAUGACGAAGAACCCCGAUUGCGAAGGCAGCUUGCUGCAGCGGAACUGACGCUGAUGCUCGAAAGUGCGGGUAUCGAACAGGAUUAGAUACCCUUGUAGUC
rnacentral:rRNA from 1 species